GAUGAACGCUGGCGGCGUGCCUAAUACAUGCAAGUCGAGCGAACAGACGAGGAGCUUGCUCCUCUGACGUUAGCGGCGGACGGGUGAGUAACACGUGGAUAACCUACCUAUAAGACUGGGAUAACUUCGGGAAACCGGAGCUAAUACCGGAUAAUAUAUUGAACCGCAUGGUUCAAUAGUGAAAGACGGUUUUGCUGUCACUUAUAGAUGGAUCCGCGCCGCAUUAGCUAGUUGGUAAGGUAACGGCUUACCAAGGCGACGAUGCGUAGCCGACCUGAGAGGGUGAUCGGCCACACUGGAACUGAGACACGGUCCAGACUCCUACGGGAGGCAGCAGUAGGGAAUCUUCCGCAAUGGGCGAAAGCCUGACGGAGCAACGCCGCGUGAGUGAUGAAGGUCUUCGGAUCGUAAAACUCUGUUAUUAGGGAAGAACAAACGUGUAAGUAACUAUGCACGUCUUGACGGUACCUAAUCAGAAAGCCACGGCUAACUACGUG
rnacentral:rRNA from 1 species